rnacentral:rRNA from 1 species
UACAGAGGGGGCAAGCGUUAUUCGGAAUUAUUGGGCGUAAAGGGCGCGUAGGCGGCUUGAUAAGCGUGCGGUGAAAGCCCGGGGCUCAACCCCGGGUCGGCCGUGCGAACUGUCGAGCUGGAGCACUGUAGAGGCAGGUGGAAUUCCGGGUGUAGCGGUGGAAUGCGUAGAGAUCCGGAAGAACACCGGUGGCGAAGGCGGCCUGCUGGGCAGUGGCUGACGCUGAGGCGCGACAGCGUGGGGAGCAAACAGG